UACUGCAUGGAUGGUGGGAGAGUUUUAGUACUUUUUGAUUAUUGAUAGAAAAUCCCAAAGCAUUAGGAGUAAAAGUCUUAAGGCAUGUCAUUGGAAGAAGUUUGGUGUAAAAAAAAAAAAACUAAAAAAAAAGAAAGAGAAAGUUUUUGCUAUAAGAAUGCCUGACAAAUGGAAUAUUACCUUUCUUUGUCAUUAAACAUUUGUCUUUAAGAUAUUAAAAAUGGAACUUUUGUGUUAUGGCAGUAUCUCAUGGUCAUUAUUCUGGAUAUUAGUGAUCAUUUUAUGUUCCUAGAAGUGUAAGGGACUGAAUCAGUUGUGAUAGUAACCUUAUUCUUACUUUUUCUGUAAUGUUACUUCUCACAUUAUGUUUACAUUUUUCUCUUCCAAAGCAGUGAUUUUAAUGGAUACGGGUGGACUGUCCAGUUAGGAUUUACUGGAGCGGUUACUUCUGUAGGCCACUAGAUGGCAUGGAGAGCAAGUUCUUCAGUCAACCGGUCCGUCAGUGUUUUGUGUCCCAGGUUCUGUUUGGUACUAGGGUGGAGUGGUAGUCAAGGUAGAUAUGGUCCCUGCCCUCAUGGGGGGACACAUCACCGACAAUGAAAUAGGUAAUUAAGACAUUUAAUAAAUGCUAUGCGAAAAAAAUACAGGAUCUUGAGGCUAAAUAUAUGCCAUCUGAAAAUUAAAUACAAUUAAAACUUGACAUGUACACAGACUUCAUGUUUGGAUGAUGCUAUUCCUUACAAAUGAUUUAAAUAGAACUCCUAUUCCCUGCUAAACUUACAGUCUUUGUUACAGUUGUUUCAGAAUUCUAGUUGAAUGAUACUUAAAGUCCUUGUUUUUGCUUUCUACCUGGGACACUGCCCUGUUACCAAGUAACAGGGUAUUUCUUUUUUCUUUUUGUUAGUUCUAUCCUACAUUGUCUUCUAAAAAUUCUAUUAAAAACCACUGUUUUUCAGGCUAAAUUUCUAAUUGUGAAAGCUUUUGGUAGGGCAGGGUUUUUUCCUUCCUUUUAGCUUAUCCGAUAUGAGAAUGUUACAGUCCUCAUUUGGUGGUGGUGUUCGCCAGUUUGUGAAGGGGGUUAAAGAAAAGUGGAUUUGCCUUCCAUCUUUCUUAUGGGUUUAAUAAAUUGAGGAACUAGGGCUGUAUUUUAGGCUCUAUACUAGGCAGUUUAUACGAUAUCUCAGCAGCCUCAAAUUCCAUUUACAGAUGGGAAAGAUAAGCUUGAAGAGUUUUAAAUAACUUGUUUAAGGUCCUAUAACUAAUAAUUGCCACAGUUGGCGUUCAGGCAAAACCAGGGACUUCUUACUUCAAAAUUUAAGAUCUUUCUGGUGCUUCUUACAUGUACAAUAUUUUAGAAGUUUCUGGGUCAUUCUUUUUUGAACAUUAGCCAAAAUUUUAAAAAACAGCUUUUAACUUGAUUUCUUCAUAGCACCCUAGAACAGGGGUCGGCAAACUUUUCCUUAAAGGGCCAGUUAGUAGCUCAUUCUGGGCCUUGUGGGCCGUAUGGUCUUUGUUGCAGCUACUCAGUCUGCUGUCGGGCUUACAGCACUCGUAGACAACAGGAAAUGGCUGUGUUCGGUAAAACUGGAUUCGUUAGUGUAGAUGGCAGCAGGCCAUACUUUGCCAGCCCGUACCGUAGAAGAUACUUGCUGAGACUUCAGCCUGUCUUGUGAUUUACCCCCAUAUUCUAAACUUAGUGUGCUAAAUGCUAGUUAAUUGAUGUAUCCAGUUUGUUAGGUUACUUUAUUAGAGAUUGUAUUCUAGGAGCCCAGUGCGGAACUCGAUUCCAGGACUCUGGGAUCACGCCCUGAGCCGAAGGCAGACGCUUGACGACUGAGCCACCCAGGUGCCCCUUAUUACUUCUUUCCUAACAUCGCUAUAAAAAAAGUCUUUUGACCUCAGUGUUUAUAAAAUACUUUGUUUUUAUAGAUAAUAGAAAUAUCAAAAGAUGAUUUAAUCCAAACUCUUCUCAUCGAUGAAGUAGCUGUGGUCUUUACAGGUUAAAUAUGUCCAAGGUUAAAUAGCUCCUUAGUGGCAAAUCUAGAAGAAGAAUGUUUAUAUCCUGAUUUUUAGACCACUGUACUUCUUCUAGUUCUAGCUUUUGGCUUUGUAGAUGUUCCUCUUGUUAGCCACUGAUAGCAGAUACUAUGGGAUUAAUGGUCUUAUUAGGGUUCUUACACUAUAAAACGGGGAACCACAUGAGCUGAUACAGAAUUUUUAAAAUAAAUUUUAAAAAAUUAUGUCUGAAAGCUCUUCCAAAGAAAUUAUUCUCAGAGUUCAUUAAAAAAUCUCAUGGGGCUCCUGAGUCAUUCAGUCCAGUAAGCGUCUGCCUUUGGCUUAGGCUCCCUGCUCAGCGGGGAGUCUGCUUCUUCUCUCCCUCUUGCCUCUCCCCCUGCUCCUUCUCUCUCUCUCUCCAUCACCCUCUCUCAGAUAAAUGUUUAAAAAAAAAUUACUGUGUGGCUUGUAGCUACUAGCAUUCUAUCAAUGGGAAGAUCUAGAGAUUAAGACAUGUUUUUAACUCUUAAAGUGUGUUUAACUCAAAAUCUAAGACUUAUGCAUGCAAGAUUAUGCAUAAUUUAUGUGUAAAAAUAUGUAAUUGUUAUAUAUUUAUAUAUAAAAUCUAUUCAGUAUGUAAGUAAAGAACUAAAAGGCGAAGUGCUCUUUUAGUUGUGGUAUUGACAAAAGC